GAUGAACGCUGGCGGCGUGCCUAAUACAUGCAAGUCGAGCGAACGGACGAGAAGCUUGCUUCUCUGAUGUUAGGGGCGGACGGGUGAGUAACACGUGGAUAACCUACCUAUAAGACUGGGAUAACUUCGGGAAACCGUAGCUAAUACCGGAUAAUAUUUUGAACCGCAUGGUUCAAAAGUGAAAGACGGUCUUGCUGUCACUUAUAGAUGGAUCCGCGCUGCAUUAUCUAGUUGGUAAGGUGACGGCUUACCAAGGCAACGAUGCAUAGCCGACCUGAGAGGGUGAUCGGCCACACUGGAACUGAGACACGGUCCAGACUCCUACGGGAGGCAGCAGUAGGGAAUCUUCCGCAAUGGGCGAAAGCCUGACGGAGCAACGCCGCGUGAGUGAUGAAGGUCUUCGGAUCGUAAAACUCUGUUAUUAGGGAAGAACAUAUGUGUAAGUAACUGUGCACAUCUUGACGGUACCUAAUCAGAAAGCCACGGCUAACUACGUG
rnacentral:rRNA from 1 species